rnacentral:lncRNA from 1 species
CUACGAGAAAUAUUUCCCUGCCCAUAAGAAGCAAGCUGCCUUGCAGGAAACAUACAACUUUGCUCAACUCCAAGAAGAGAGUCUCCCACAAGCUUGGGGAGGCUCGUCCAGCUACAAAAUGCUUUGCCUUAUCACCCUCUUAAGAAGAACGAGAUACUUGAUAUCCUCUAUAACGGACUUACAAAUGCCUCUAGAGACCACC